rnacentral:piRNA from 2 species
UGUAAAAAGACUGUAUCAUAUGUAACU